AUUGUUGCCUACAAGUCAGCAUGACUUCAUGAUUGUGAUAUAAUAGUAUCAUCACCUCAGGGAAGGAUACUUCUGUGAAAUUAAGUGAUAUAGUCCUAUCUGAGUAGGAAUAUUGUACAUGAAAAAUCCUGCUAAUAAGCAUAGGUCUUAUUUUGAUAUUUUGGAAUUUUAUAGGGAAUUAAAUACAAUAAAAUAAAGCAUCCUACUGAGGUCAGACAUCUGAGAACAACAGGUUAGUCAAAUCCUCAUUCCUGUGAAAUUUACCAAGGGGCUUUUAAAAUGGCCAAACGUUAAAGUAUCUAGCAUGAUGCUUGAAAUAUAAUAUGUGGAAAUACACUAAACUAAAAUGACCCUGUCCAGUCUCAUGGCUUCAAAUACCAGCCCCAUGCUAAUGAUCAAAUUUUCUAUGCAUUCAAAUCUCCCGAACUCAGAUUUAGAUAUCUAACAUCUCUACUGGUUUCUUCACCUGUUUCCCACAUCAAACUUCUUUCUUUUCUUAAUCCAUUUCCCCCCACCUUUUCCAUUAUAUUAAUCAUAAUUAAAUAGGGACGUUUGGCUCAGGCUCUGAAAUUUGACUCACAUCCCAUGUCAAAUUCAACACCAAAUCCUCUCAACUCUACUUUAAAAAUAUUUUCAAAAUAUGACCACUUCUCUCCACUACAACUCUAGCUCAAAUCAUCCUAUCUUUUUCCUAGGUGAUUGCAAUAACAUCUCACUACCUGGAUCUACUCUUUGUCCUAUAGUCAAUUCUUAUCUCAGCAGACAGCAGACUAUUAAAGCUGUGAACCAUAUCAGCCUCUAUUGCCUUCUGUAGCUUCCAUUUCACCUCCAUAGAAAUCUCCACGAUGACAUCUAAGACUCUCUAUGGUUGGUCCCUCUUCUUGCCUUACAACUAAAAACUCUUCUACCAUUUCCACGGUAUUCACUCUGCUGUAGCAGGGAGACCUAUUUGCUGUCCCUUAAACAAAGCAGAUGUCUUUCUCCUCUGGUCUUUGCAUUUGCUGGUCCUAUUACUAGCAGUGUUAUUUUUUACAUCCACUUGAUGACUUCCCUCAUCUCCUUCAAGUCCUUGAUGGAGAAUGUUCUUAUACAGUAAGGACGUACCUGGCAACCAUAUUUAAAACAGAAUCUUCAGUCCCAUGUCCAGAACUCUUUAUGCGCCUUCUCUGUUUUAUAAUAGUUUGAGAAAAUCAGUAAGUGUUUUGGGGACACAGCACUUACCACCACCUGACAUAAUUAGGCAUAAAACUGUAUUUCUUAAUUAUUUUCUUUCUUAUAUAUUUGUUUGCCUUUCAUCAUCUAAGCAUUUAGCAGAAGUUGUCUAUGUUAUUCACCAUGGUAUUCCUAAUUCCUUAAAAAGUGUUGGAUAUAAAACAAACAUACAUUGAACAUUUGUUGAAUAAAAGAAUUAUAUGUAAAAUUACGGUCAAGAAUUUUUCGAGGGGAAAACUCUUAUCCUCUAAACACAUUUAUUUGGAUACCUGGUAAAUUAUACUAUAAUUAACUUGGGAAAUAAACUUGUUCCUCUUAUGUUAAUUGAGGGAAGCUUUGGCAGGAGCAUUCUGCUUCAUCUCCAAGUAUUUUAAUCAAAGCCUAUUGUUAUUUUUUUCAAAUAUGACAACCCUAUGGGACCCACCGAGCUGAAGAUUAGUGAAGAUUAGCUGGGACACCCAGUUCCUGUUCUCAUUGUGGAGUGCCAGAUUUCCUGGGCAAACAGUAUCAGACAUUACUUUAGGUGAAGACUUUCCAGUCUGACUUCCCUCACCUGAGCAAAAAGAAGCAUUGGAGAAGACACUUGAUGUCACAUUAAUGAAAGGGAAUAAUGGAUUAAGGAAAGCUUGGUAGCAAAAAGAAGUUAAAAUAUAUCUGAGAAAAGUAUUUUAAACCAUAAAUAACUUGUAAGUAUCUGCAAAUAUAUGUUUAUUAUAAAAUAUUCAAAUAAGAGAAAUGUAUAGAAAAAAAC
rnacentral:lncRNA from 1 species